rnacentral:rRNA from 1 species
AGCCUGAACGCUGGCGGCGUGGCUAAGACAUGCAAGUCGUACGGUGUAGCAAUACACAGUGGCGAACGGGAGAGUAAUGAACCGCUAAUGUGCCCCGGACUCUGGGAUAGCCAGUUGAAAGAUUGGGUAAUACCAGAUGAUAUAUCUUUAUCGCAUGAUAGAGAUCUCAAAGGUCCGCCGGUCUGGGAGCAGGCGAUUUCGUAUCAGCUAGUUGGUGAGGUAACGGCUCACCAAGGCGACGACGCGUAGCCGGACUGAGAGGUUGGCCGGCCUCAUUGGGACUGAGACACUGCCCAGACUCCUACGGGGGGCUGCAGUAACGAAUCUUCCGCAAUGCACGAAAGUGUGACGGAGCGACGCCGCGUGUGGGACGAAGUCCUUCGGGAUGUAAACCACUGUCAGGGGUUACCAAGUUCUGAGGAGCCCCAGGAGGAAGGGACGGCUAACUCUGUGCCAGCAGCCGCGGU